GAGGUAUUAUUACCUUCAUAGGGAUGAGAGAAUGCUCAGCAGAAAGACUAGGAAAGGUAUCAGAGAAAGAGAAACAGGAUCUGAAGCCAGAUGCUCUCUGAUUUGUGCAGAUCCAGCCUAAUGCUCAAUUUUAUUCUUUCACUUCAGAAUUUAGCGGAGGGUCACAGUGUUGGUUUAUUAAUUUACAAAUAUUGAGUCAAUCACAAAUGCUAGAGAAUGCUGAGUCGAACCCAAACUGAUAUCAUCUUUGUCAGCAAAAUAUCAAGUGGACUGAUCAUGGGUGGGAGUCUAUGUUCCAAACCCUUUAGAAAUACUGAUCAACAGUUGGAAAUUUUCCUUAUGAAUUCAAUAAGAUUUUCCUUUGGCCUCAAGGAAAUCAUGAAGGAAACUAGAGAAAACAACUUGAGGUUGACUGAGUCCCCAGGGUUCUGCUACUGUUGGAUAGUAGUUAAGUAGAGUUAUCCAAGUUGAGCAGCAAGACAAAAGCCAAGGUGACCAGUGAUUGAAAGGAAGGUAAUCUUAGAGAAAAGGUACGCCAGGAAAGACUUCUCAUAUAAAGUGGGGACAGUAUUUCCACAGGCAGGGAAUGAGAAGAAAGGAAUGGGUGACUGUUGGAGAAGUCAAGUCCUGCUCUACACCUACCCAAGCUUUGGAGGAAAAGAAAAAAAGAGAAGAAAAAGGCUCAGAGUGAUGGCCAGAGCCACACAGUUCAUCCAUUCUAAGGCUGACAUUCAGAACCAGCUCUUCUGACUCCACAUUCUCUCUGUCAGGGCAUGAGAGUCAGCAGAUCCUCCUCAGCGGUAACUAUGGGCACUGCUCUACCAGGGGGCUCCUCCCUCCAACCACCCACUGACUUCAAUGGGAACCAUUGCCAUGAAUGCCUGAAUGUUUGACAAGAAAAUAACCAGAGUACUGUCAUCAGUAACAAGGUUUUUCCUCAUUAAAAAAUGUCCUCUUUCUAGUAAGAAGUUCUGGAGCCAUUCAGUGGCUCAAUUAUUUUUUCUACUCAGGCAAAGACUAC